GAGAACUUUCACUGGCACUCACUCCCCUUUGAAGGGAUAACUGGAGGUGGUAGCAGCCCACCCUCUCUCCUUAGUGUCCCACCAGAAGGAGUCCUGACCCCCCUGUCGUAACUGCGGAGCUUGUACCAAGAAAAGAGAAGCCCAGCAUGCUCUUCUGGACCAAACAUGGUAUUGAUGAGAGCCACGACUAGGAACUUACCAUGCCAAUAGGAUUUCUGAAAGCUGAGCGUGCACCCUUCCAGCUUUGCUUCAUCAGGUCCAGGAUGGAGCCCUUUUUUCAGAUCAGCUUGUGGUCCCUCUCAAGAAGAAAGCUCCCAUUCGGAACUGAGAACUGGAUUUUGCUUUAGACAACUUUUUGAUU
rnacentral:lncRNA from 1 species